UUAGGCACAUUGAUCCGAUCCCUUAUUGGUUUUAGUGCUAUAAGAAAACUUUAACAAGUCUCUGUUUUUUUUUUUUUUUUUUCACAGGAAGACAUACCGUUUCAGUAUUUGAGUUUCUUCCUCGAAGAUGAUGCCGAACUUGAACACAUAAAGAAGGAGUAUGGAGAAGGACGAAUGUUAACCGGAACAGUAAAGAAUCGUCUCAUCCAAGUUGUGAUAGAAAUUGUUGAGAGACACCGCAGGGCUCGAGCUGCUGUUACUGAAGAGAUGGUCGAUGCGUUCAUGGCUGUAAGACCUCUCCCAUACAUGUUUGAGUAAAUUCUAAGCCUCUGUAGUAGUCUCCUGAGCACAGUUGCGCCUUUGUCAUGCUGAGCACAGUUGCCUAUCCUGUGACACCAUUGUCCCCCUGGAGUGUUGUUGUUAUUAGAAACCUGUUUGUUCUUUUUUAUGACUUUUCCCAUCUAAAUUUUAUAACUGAUAUUUUAUUUAUAUGCAUUGUAAUAAUCAUAAAAAUUAUAAGCUCUUACAAUC